UUAUACGGCGAAACUGCGAAUGGCUCAUUAAAUCAGUUAUCGUUUAUUUGAUAGCCCCUUACUACUUGGAUAACCGUGGUAAUUCUAGAGCUAAUACAUGCUGAAAACCCCGACUUCGGAAGGGAUGUAUUUAUUAGAUUAAAAACCAAUGCCCCUCGGGGCUCACUGGUGAUUCAUGAUAACUUGUCGAAUCGCACGGCCUUGCGCCGGCGAUGGCUCAUUCAAAUUUCUGCCCUAUCAACUUUCGACGGCUGGAUCUGGGCCCGCCAUGGUGACAACGGGUAACGGAGGGUUAGGGCUCGGCCCCGGAGAAGGAGCCUGAGAAACGGCUACUACAUCCAAGGAAGGCAGCAGGCGCGCAAAUUACCCAAUCCCGACUCGGGGAGGUAGUGACAAUAAAUACUGAUACAGGGCUCUUUUGGGUCUUGUAAUUGGAAUGAGUACAAUUUAAUUCCCUUAACGAGGAACAAUUGGAGGGCAAGUCUGGUGCCAGCAGCCGCGGUAAUUCCAGCUCCAAUAGCGUAUAUUAAAGUUGUUGCAGUUAAAAAGCUCGUAGUUGAACCUUGGGCCUGGCUGGCCGGUCCGCCUCACCGCGUGCACUGGUCCGGCCGGGUCUUUCCCUCUGGGGAGCCGCAUGCCCUUCACUGGGCGUGUCGGGGAACCAGGACAUUUACUUUGAAAAAAUUAGAGUGUUCAAAGCAGGCUUAUGCUCGAAUACAUUAGCAUGGAAUAAUAGAAUAGGACGCGCGGUUCUAUUUUGUUGGUUUCUAGGACCGCCGUAAUGAUUAAUAGGGACAGUCGGGGGCAUCAGUAUUCAAUAGUCAGAGGUGAAAUUCUUGGAUCUAUUGAAGACUAACUACUGCGAAAGCAUUUGCCAAGGAUGUUUUCAUUAAUCAGGAACGAAAGUUAGGGGAUCGAAGACGAUCAGAUACCGUCGUAGUCUUAACCAUAAACUAUGCCGACUAGGGAUCGGACGAUGUUAUUUUUUUGACUCGUUCGGCACCUUACACGAAAGUACAAGUUUCUGG
rnacentral:rRNA from 1 species